GGAAAGGUGCAGGAGUGGUUUAACUGGCACGCCUGGAAAGCGUGUGUACUCGAAAGGGUACCGAGAGUUCGAAUCUCUCCCUUUCCG
rnacentral:tRNA from 1 species